GACGAACGCUGGCGGCGUGUCUAAUACAUGCAAGUCGAACGCAGGGGGGACGGGUGAGUAACACGUGGGUAACCUCCCCUCAGAGGGGAUAACACUUGGAAAAAGGUGCUAAACCGAUACUGAUGGAUGGACCCGCGGUGCAUUAGCUAGUUGGUGAGGUAACGGCGCACCAAGGCCACGAUGCAUAGCUGACCGUAGAGGGUGAGCGGCCACACGGGGACUGAGACACGGCCCAGACUCCUACGGGAGGCAGCAGUAGGGAAUAUUCGGCAAUGGACGAAAGUCUGACCGAGCCACGCCGCGGGAGUGAAGAAGGUUUUCGGAUCGUAAAGCUCUGUUGUUGGAGAGGCGUUAUCUAACCAGAAAGCCACGGCUAACUACGUGCCAGCCGCCGCGGUAAUUC
rnacentral:rRNA from 1 species